rnacentral:rRNA from 1 species
GACAGAGGUGCCAAGCGUUAGGCGGAAUCACUGGGCUUAAAGCGUGUGUAGGCGGUUUGUCGCGUCGGGAGUGAAAUCCACUGGCUUAACUGGUGGCUUGCUUUCGAUACGGGCAGACUGGAGGUAUGCAGGGGAGAACGGAAUUCCUGGUGUAGCGGUGAAAUGCGCAGAUAUCAGGAGGAACACCGGUGGCGAAGGCGGCUACCUGGACAAUUGCUGACGCUCAGGCACGAAAGCGUGGGGAGCAAAAGGG